rnacentral:rRNA from 1 species
UAGGGAAUCUUCCGCAAUGGGCGAAAGCCUGACGGAGCAACGCCGCGUGAGUGAUGAAGGUCUUCGGAUCGUAAAACUCUGUUAUUAGGGAAGAACAUAUGUGUAAGUAACUGUGCACAUCUUGACGGUACCUAAUCAGAAAGCCACGGCUAACUACGUGCCAGCAGCCGCGGUAAUACGUAGGUGGCAAGCGUUAUCCGGAAUUAUUGGGCGUAAAGCGCGCGUAGGCGGUUUUUUAAGUCUGAUGUGAAAGCCCACGGCUCAACCGUGGAGGGUCAUUGGAAACUGGAAAACUUGAGUGCAGAAGAAGAAAGUGGAAUUCCAUGUGUAGCGGUGAAAUGCGCAGAGAUAUGGAGGAACACCAGUGGCGAAGGCGACUUUCUGGUCUGUAACUGACGCUGAUGUGCGAAAGCGUGGGGAUCAAACAGGAUUAGAUACCCUGGUAGUCCACGCCGUAAACGAUGAGUGCUAAGUGUUAGGGGGUUUCCGCCCCUUAGUGCUGCAGCUAACGCAUUAAGCACUCCGCCUGGGGAGUACGACCGCAAGGUUG